rnacentral:lncRNA from 1 species
UUUUUUUUUUUUUUAUUGUUGAGUGGCAUCGUCCUGAGCGUGUCUUGCAACAGUUUGGACUCAUAUAGGGUAUUCCUUCGACACCCCCUAUAGAUGUUGACCUUCACUCCAUAGAUCGACGUGGUCGACCUUAGUUUGAUUGGAGAUUGUAUCAUCAACACUACGUGGCAUUAUGGAAGGCUAGGGAGAAUCACAUUGUCACUACGGAGCCUAUAGAGCCUCAUAUGGACUACCAUGCUCCGUACAUGACAUGGUAUCGUCGUUUUAUUACACCUAUGGAUGAUUUUGGACCUAUGCAGUACCAGGCUACUGUCUUAUCUGCCCACUUAUUGGUUUGUAUCACUUUAAUAUUAUGUACAUAUUGUGUAUAAUAUUUAUUCCAACAAAUAAUUAUAUAUCAUUUUUAUGUGACAGAUUGAGACUAUGGCAUCUAUCAUAUCUCGAGGAGGUCAUGCAUUAGAGGACUCUGAUAGUGAUGCUUGCCGCACUGGUAUUGUUGAUAUUAUUCGUAUGGCCACUGAUGUUAUGUGCAUUAUUCGGGAGAAUUAUCGUAUCCCACAUGUAGAGCAUGGAGAAGGUAGGUCACCCGCUUAGUCGACAGUUGCUCUACCACCACUUGUUCGAGGUCGGUCGACAUCUCGAAUGAGAGGUAGAUUUAGUAGUUGUCAGCCCAUCACAUCGUCAGUAUCAGCAUCAUUAUAGUCUCCUACCUUUUUAUCAUCACAAUUAGUACAGUCACCCAUCUCUUCAGACGUAGCAUCAGUGCAACACCCUACUUAUUUAGACCUACCAUCAGUGCAACCCUUUACCUCUUUAGACCCACCAUUAGUACAACUUCCUAUUUUAUUUAGACUUAUCUCCAGUUCAGGCUCCUACUUCUUCAAACCCACCAUCAGCCCAACCUCUUACUUCCUCAGACCCACCAUCAGUGCAGAUUGACACAUCUACUCAGCUAGAUUUACCGCCAGCCAUUCCGAGGGGUAGGCAGGGCCUACGUCGACCUAGAUUGCUACCUCCACCACUACCUCUAUUUCCAGUUCCAGCCCCAUCACAGACAGAUGUUCUUCAUGUGUCACAUGCAAUAUCUGCUACAGUUAGAGAGGAGCAUCCAAAAAGGAAGAGAGUACCAGUUACACAUAAGUUCUCUCCUUAUGUAGGCAUAUGAGAUUAUAUAUGUUUUUAUUUUCCACUAUAUUAAUGUUUAGUGGAUAUUUUUUGUGACUUUAAUUAAACUAUUAAAAAUUACAUUUUGUAAUAGACUUUUUGUAAUUAAUUUCAUUAACUAAUUUUGUAAAAAAAUCUAUAUAUGACAACUACGGCUUAAGAGUAUACUAUUAUUUCGAUAAAGAUAAAUUUGUCAUAAUACAAAUAAAUUAAUAUCUUAAAAAAUAAUAAAUUAAAUAUUUUAAAUUAAUAAAUUAUACAAUUUUAUAUAUUAUUUAUAUGUUAUAUAAGUUUAUUAUUUUAAGAUUAUUAAUUUAUUAAUAAAUAAAACAUUCAUUUAUAAUGUCUUCUAUUUAUUAAUUUAUGUUUGUUGAACUAAUAUUAGAUUUUUAAGUUUAAAUAUAAAUAAUUUAUUAUUUAAGUAUGUUUUUUAAAUUUCAAUAAUAAAUUAUAAUUCGAUAGUUUUUAAUUAAAUUUGGAAGAAAAAAAAAUUAUAAUUGAAAUCUCAAUUAUCAACUGCGGCUUAAAAGUAUACUAUUAUUUCGAUAAAAAUAAAUUUAUCAUAAUACAAAUAAAUUAAUAUCUUAAAAAACAAAAAAUUAAAUAUCUUAAAUUAAUAAAUUAUACAAUUUUAUAUAUUAUUUAUAUGCUAUAUAAGUUUAUUAUUUUAAGAUUAUUAAUUUAUUAAUAAAUAAAAUAUUCAUUUAUAAUAUCUUCUAUUUAUCAAUUUAUGUUUAUUGAAGUAAUAUUAGAUUUUUAAAUUUAAAUAUAAAUAAUUUAUUAUUUAAGUAUAUUUUUUAAAUUUCAAUCAUAAAUUGUAAUUUAAUAAUUUUUAAUUAAAUUUUAAAUUUAAAAAAAAAUUAACUGAAGCCGUAGUUGCCAACUGCAGCUUUAGUUCAAAUAUGAAGUUGCAGUUGUCAAUUACGGUUUUAACUAAAAUGACAAAAAAUAAAUAAAUUUUAAAAACAUAGCGCCUACGUGGCACCAAAGAGGCCAAUUUGAACAUAAGUUUCAAAAAGUGAUUAGAUGUUAUAAUUUUUUUAAAAAAAAUGGGCCAUUUUGACCCAAAACUCUAUCAAUUGAACUAGGCUAUUUGAGUAAGCUUGCUCGCGCCUGUUGAACCUGAGCUUGGUUAUAGGCCAAGUUUGAGCAAUUCAACACUCAGCUUGCUUGGUGAGCCACUGCAAUAGUUUAUACAAUGUCAAUGUGCAAACAACCAAUGUUUAGUUAUCCUGGCGCCAGUAGCAUUGCCCUGCUUUGCCAUCCAAUCUCCGAAGAAUAGGUCAUCUUCAGUGAAUGACAAAACACACAUGAGCGCAACACUUCAUCAACAACAUUAAAGAAAAAUUAAAAACAGAAACCAAAAAUCAAAUCCUUUCUUGUUUUAGUCUAUCCAUGCUUCCAAUCUGCAAAAUUUUCAGUUUUGGGAUGUUGGAAUUUGCCUAAUCUGCUGCACUCCAUAAUUUCUAUGAAAUUGUUUGUUUGGUUAUUGUUUCCAGGUGUUUUGACGGUUUCCAAUGCCUCAAAUACCAAAUAUAUAGUUGUGUUGGAGAUAUAGUCUACUGGGCUUGGUUUUGAGGUGUUUUAAGGGCAUCGAAGAUGGCCAGUCUCGUUGUCUAGUCAUGUGAGAAAAUGGGCUUGGUUUCUAAGGAAUAAACAGAAAAAUCUUACCUUAUGUGAGCCUUCUUUAAUCACAGAAAUCAGAUUUUGUGAUGAAAAUAGAAGUUUGUCCUAAAUAUAUAUAUAUAUCCCGUCAGGCUGAACAACUGGGUCAUUCCAGGUUUUAACACACAGAUUUACAUGUUGGGGAAGCAUCCACACCCCUGAUUAUGGCCUAGGCCCUAGACGAGCUUUAAUUAAUUGAAAUUGCAGAGUUGGUAUGAGUCACAUGUCUGUCUACGUGUGCCUGAGUAAGUCCCCUCAUCAUUUGGUUGAAUCCAAACUAUCAACCUCCCAUGACCGUAUGUAAAGGCAAGGAGUGGGUGGUUGAACUUCUCUCGAAUCAUGGGGAUCAUGUGGGUGCCUCACAUUACUCUGUUUCUUUUACAGGUAUAUCUACAGAUCAUUAUUUAUGAAUGGGCGCUUUUCUCUUUUUCUGCAAUUCAAAAAGAUGAUCUCUCCCCUCAUAAACUUUGCCUUUCUUUAGUGUGAUCAAACCACCUCAAGCCCAUCUCUUUCUUCCUGACGUUGAUCCUACGCAUGGGUGGCAAAUUCCUCAGAAAAGUUGUCCCCAUUGGUUCUUGUUAAAGAUGAGAUUCUUAACCACAUCAUUGAAACCUGUAAAGCAGAGCAACCAACUUGGCUUCACCUUUCUUGACCCUGAAAGGAACCCUUGAAUGACCUUUUUAGAUGCAAAUUUCACUCCAUUCACACUCCUUUUUAGCCCUCGGGAUGCUUUAGAAAAACUUAAGGUAAAGAAAACAAAUUAAAAGAAAUUUUAAGAUUGCAUACAGAGACCAAAGACUAAAGAGGGUGAAAGGGGGUGGAUCAGCUUUGAAAGGAUUCCAGAUGACCCAAGAGGGGCUUUUUCAGAGUCUCUUUCUCCCUCCAUUUAUUUGCAACUUGUCUUUACAUGUUGAGGAGAAAGAAUAAGAAUAUGGAAUAGAUCGAUUUUCUUUCACUUUUUGGAAUUUGGGUGGAGGACCACUAAAUUCCUUAUCUCCUCCCCAGGGAUAAGAUAAUGUGUCUUUUGUGUUUUAUGUGCUAGCAAAGUUAUCUCGGCAACAUCCCAUGGUUUUGCGGUUACCACCUGUCACAUAACCCUGCACAAAGAACCUCCUAAAGUGCUGGGAGAUCCUAGAUGUUUCCAUAAUUUCCUUUCCCUAUGUUUCUUAGAUUCAAAGCCCCCCAUAACCUCCUCAUCAGUUCUCAUGCAUGCUUCCGAGCAAUCCUUGAAUUUAGACUUCAAAACCCGUUUCUUUUUCAACUAAAUAUUGCAACCCAAACAAGCCAAAAUGAUUGGCACUAGGCUGAACACAUGCAUGAUUUCAUAGAUUACUAGUUUUAAUGUCUUGAGAAGUUAUGAAGAAAUAAUUUGGUUAUUUUCACUGUUGUUGCAUGUUCUUGAAUGCUAACCUGUUCUGCUUUACAUUUCAUGUCCCUGCAUCCAUAAAAUCCUCAAAACCGGAAAUUUAAGCAUACCAUUGUGUGAGAUGGAUCACAUCUAGGUGAAGACUCCGGUUGAAAGGCUCUGCUUAUGGCUUCCAAUUCACGUAUACAAUCUAGCUUUUCCACUCCAACCCAAAAUCCAAUUUCUCAGGCUAAGUGAUGCUCUGUUCUAAUUUUCUUUAAUUGAUCAUGGAAAGUCUCAUCUCAUAAAGGGUGUUUCGCAUCCAUCUAAAAUUUCCAUAGAAGUGGUCCGUACACACCAGCCCUUUCUGUCUUUAAUAAAAUUGUAAUCAACCCAAUUCGAUCUUCAAAUAUGCAAAAUAUCUCAACAAAGGGACUGAACCAGUGUUGAUUUUACUUCCAAUGGCCCCACAGAGCAAUAAUUGAUAGCAUGCUCAUCACGUGUAGGCACAAUCAUGAAGAAAAUGUUCUCAUUUUCUCUCCCAAUGGGCAAGAGAAACCCUUGAAUCAGAUCUUUACUGUUUAAGAUAAGGAUGAAACAGAUAGAAAAGGGACCAAACACCAGAUCAUGUUUCACCAUGUUUUUGUACAAGACACAGAAAGUGCUUAUGCAUUACAUAUUCAAAGAUACUUCAAUUACACUGGCCUACAAAAUAGAAAACCGAAACAUAACUAGGAAUUCUCCACGGUCGGCCAAGAAAAAAUACCAGCAGACCAAGAUGGAGAUAUCUUACAUGUACAUUAACAACACCUGACUGACUCAACAGCUCCUCUGUCAAUGUCAAAAAACCCAUUGCAGAGGCUACAACUUGGGCCACCAACUGAAACCUAAACUAAAUAACCGAGGAACUACCCUGGAAAAGGCCAAAUUAAAAAAGGACUAAAAACAGAGAUACAAUGUGAU